GUCCACGCCCUAAACGAUGUACACUAGUUGUUGUGAGACUUGAUCUUGCAGUAAUGCAGUUAACACAUUAAGUGUACCGCCUGGGGAGUACGGUCGCAAGAUUAAAACUCAAAGGAAUAGACGGGGACCCGCACAAGCGGUGGAGCAUGUGGUUUAAUUCGACGAUACACGAAGAACCUUACCUGGACUUGACAUAUCGGUGAAGCCGGAGAGAUCCGGUGGCCGAGAGGAGCCGAUACAGGUGGUGCAUGGCUGUCGU
rnacentral:rRNA from 1 species